rnacentral:rRNA from 1 species
AGUCGAACGGAAAGGCCCUUCGGGGUACUCGAGUGGCGAACGGGUGAGUAACACGUGGGUGAUCUGCCCUGCACUUUGGGAUAAGCCUGGGAAACUGGGUCUAAUACCGAAUACACCCUUCUGGCUGCAUGGUCUGGUUGGGGAAAGCUUUUGCGGUGUGGGAUGGGCCCGCGGCCUAUCAGCUUGUUGGUGAGGUUACGGCUCACCAAGGCGACGACGGGUAGCCGGCCUGAGAGGGUGACCGGCCACACUGGGACUGAGAUACGGCCCAGACUCCUACGGGAGGCAGCAGUGGGGAAUAUUGCACAAUGGGCGCAAGCCUGAUGCAGCGACGCCGCGUGAGGGAUGACGGCCUUCGGGUUGUAAACCUCUUUCGCCAGGGACGAAGCGCAAGUGACGGUACCUGGAGAAGAAGGACCGGCCAACUACGUGCCAGCAGCCGCGGUAAUACGUAGGGUCCGAGCGUUGUCCGGAAUUACUGGGCGUAAAGAGCUCGUAGGUGGUUUGUCGCGUUGUUCGUGAAAACUCACAGCUCAACUGUGGGCGUGCGGGCGAUACGGGCAGACUGGAGUACUGCAGGGGAGACUGGAAUUCCUGGUGUAGCGGUGGAAUGCGCAGAUAUCAGGAGGAACACCGGUGGCGAAGGCGGGUCUCUGGGCAGUAACUGACGCUGAGGAGCGAAAGCGUGGGGAGCGAACAGGAUUAGAUACCCUGGUAGUCCACGCCGUAAACGGUGGGUACUAGGUGUGGGUUUCCUUCCUUGGGAUCCGUGCCGUAGCUAACGCAUUAAGUACCCCGCCUGGGGAGUACGGCCGCAAGGCUAAAACUCAAAGAAAUUGACGGGGGCCCGCACAAGCGGCGGAGCAUGUGGAUUAAUUCGAUGCAACGCGAAGAACCUUACCUGGGUUUGACAUGCACAGGACGUGCCUAGAGAUAGGUAUUCCCUUGUGGCCUGUGUGCAGGUGGUGCAUGGCUGUCGUCAGCUCGUGUCGUGAGAUGUUGGGUUAAGUCCCGCAACGAGCGCAACCCUUAUCUUAUGUUGCCAGCGCGUAAUGGCGGGGACUCGUGAGAGACUGCCGGGGUCAACUCGGAGGAAGGUGGGGAUGACGUCAAGUCAUCAUGCCCCUUAUGUCCAGGGCUUCACACAUGCUACAAUGGCCGGUACAAAGGGCUGCGAUGCCGUGAGGUGGAGCGAAUCCUUUCAAAGCCGGUCUCAGUUCGGAUCGGGGUCUGCAACUCGACCCCGUGAAGUCGGAGUCGCUAGUAAUCGCAGAUCAGCAACGCUGCGGUGAAUACGU